AGCACUGGAAUAUUUGAAUUAGAGAAAUUAAGGAAGGCGAAAAGUUUAAAGCCCUUGAUUCUUGCCUCUUACCCUUAUAGCUAGUGAUUUUCGUAUGUAUGUCCUGGAGCAGAUAAGGAAUAUCAGUUGUGAAUUUACCUGGUUACUGCCCAAAUCACUGUUAAUUCAUAUAUGCUGCCUCUGCAUUCCUUCCUCUAGUUUCGAAGUGCUCUCAGGGCCUCCUCAUACAUGCUCAUCCAGUGAUACUAGCCCUGAGUAGUACAUCUUGUAGUUUUCUUCUUUUCUUAUCCCAUCCUCCUUCCUACCUAGUGCACAACCUCCAGUUACACUUAAAGGUAAAAGAUGAAGAAAUAGGAGGAGAGAGAGUGAGCAAGGGGCAGAGACACAUAGGAAAAGUGUUAGGAAGAGACAAAUAUGAGUGUAGAGUCCUCAAAGGACUUGCUGCCCUCUCCAGCUGCUGCCCUACUCUGCCUUGUUCCUGUUGUCACCGCUUUCCAUCUUUCUAAAAGGAGUUUAAAAUAAAAAUUACACACAUUUGUUUGAAUUUCGGUUCUCAACACUCAAAAGUGCUUUUUUGAACAUCGCCGAUGACGUCCUUCAAUCAGUCUCAGGGCUUUUGCUUUGUUUCUCUCUUCCUUUGUUGCUCUGCUGCACUUUCUACAAAUGUGAACAUUCCCUUCUUGCUAAGAGGGGACGCCGUAUUGACUACAACUUCUGCCACAUGAAACCUUGUCUAAUCAGCCUCGUUUGAAAGUACACAUUUCAUUUGAUGACAUUUGCAAAUUAUCCACCACCCCCCUUGCCCCGGAACUUGCAAUAUGAAAACGCUUCCAUAUGCUAAGAGCUAGUGUCCUCAUUUUGCUGAAGGAGAAAUGAAGAAACAAAGUAUUUUACUGACUUGCUGUUUUAUAAACAUGAAGCUGCAAUGUGGGCAGAUGAAGCUGUGGCAGCCCCUCAGAGUUCACUGUAAACAACUUCGCAGCCCUGAGGCCCCACUACCCUUCAAGAUGUUUUUUUGCUUGGAGAGCUGUUUUUGUUCCACAAAAGUAAAUUGUUAAAAACGCAAUUGUGACUUGUAUAUGGUUCUGAGAUAUUCCAAUACAGUUAGAAUACUGUAUCAGAUUCUGAUUUCUAACAGAUAUGGAUUUUUCUUUUUUUUGUCUUUUUGCCUUUUCUAGGGCUGCUUCCCAUGGCAUAUGGAGGUUCCCAGGCUAGGGAUCCAAUCGGAGCUGUAGCCGCCAGCCUACGCCAGAGACACAGCAAGGCGGGAUCCAAGCCACGUCUGCGACCUACACCACACUCACGGCAACGCCAGAUCCUUAACCCACUGAGCAAGGCCAGGGAUCAAACCCGCAACCUCAUGGUUCCUAAUCGGAUUCGUUAACCACUGAGCCACGACGGGAAUUCCUGUUGUUCCUUUUCAUGUGGAUAUCAGUGUGAUAGAAAUACUAUUUUUUUGGAGUUUCCUGGUAGCCUAGCAGUUGAGGAUUCAGCAUUGUCACUGCUGUGGCUUGAGUUGGAUCCCUGGCCUGGGAAUUUCUGCAUGCUGUGGGCACAACUGAAAAAAAAAAAAAAGAAAAAAGAAAAAGAAAUGCUGUCUUCUACUUCUUUUGACUGGAUUCUAAUACACUUCUGAGCAAAUAAUGGAUAUAAAAUAGACAUUCUGUUACUACAGGUUUUCAGUUAAAAAUUGUGGCUAUUUGUGUAAAUUGCAUAAAUUAUCAAGUGGAAGAGCUGAGUGGUGGUACCCGCACAAUGCUUAAUAUGUUCUGGAGACUAUAAAAUCAAUCCUACUGAAGUCUGUCCUUUGUCUUUAAAGAUUUAUUGCUUGGUUUUUAGAAUUUCACUAACUUAAUUGCGGUAGUGGUUUCGCAGUGUGUAUCCAUGAUUCAGAGCUCAUCAAAUUGUGCUCUUUAAAUAUGUGCAGCUAUUUUAUAGGUCAAUAAAACUAUACCUCAAUUUAAAAAAAGAAAAAUAUUGUGAAGAGGUGGUAAAGGUAUAAUUUAGCAGCAAAAGCAACAUCACUUAAUGUAUAUUUACAUUAGCAUGUUAAAAAUAAUAUAUAAAUAUCAUAUACAUUUAUGAACAUAAAUAUAACAACAUACACAUUAUUGAAGAGACCCUUAUGUCUCCUGCCAUCUUUAGUCUUAGAGAGUUGCUAGAAUGUCAUCAAGAAGACCAUUUUAUAAAGGAAAUUGUUAUACCCUGGGCAUCCAGCACUCAUCUUUCAUUCUGCAUAGAGGAUCUGUACAGCUACAAUGGUAACAAUGAAAAAAAAGGAAUAGCAAAUUUAUUUUUUAAUUCUGAUGGACCACUUCAAUCUUUGUCUAACUAUCAAUAUUUUUCUUUUUUCACUUUCUUGAUAAAACCUUGUAUUUUGCUGCUUCUUCCUAGUGUGUUCUCUUAAACCAACUUAUUACUAAGAUAGGGAGUGGAUCCAGAAAAACCAUGUAGAGCUAUUGGAUGAUAUAUAGUUAAACUAAUUUACAAAACAAUUUGGGGGAUGGAAAUUACUGCAUUUUAUCACAAAUGAGGAAUGAAAACCAAGAAAUACAGUGAUUAGAGUAAGUCUAAAUCAAGCAGAGUGUUAAGAUUCUCUUUUUAGUUCAUAUAUUGGGCUUAAUUUUUCCAUUAUGAAAGUGAGAUCAGGUCUCAUUGUUCUCUUUAUUUAAAAAAUAAAGGAAUUCUAUGUAAGCCAACUUAUGUCACCAUCAGUCUGAGUAAAAGAAAAUAAUGAGUUUCUGACACCACUGAGGUUUAAUGACACCACUUCUGACAGCUCAGCACUAACUUGUAACAAUGCACAAUAUAUAUACAAAUUUGUUAGUGUUUGCUCACUGCAAACUAUCACCAUAUUACCAAGGUGCAGACACUAGAGAUGCAUGAUUUUUACUUCCUGUAUGUAAUGAUGUUUAAGAGAUACUUAAACUUGAUUUUAAAGCCCUGCAAUAAUUUGUCUAAGAGCCUACAGAGUUAUUAGUUCUUAGGGUGUUUUUUGUUUUUUUUUUUUUUUUAAGUUCUCAUUUAUAGUAAUGAGCAUAUCAUAUCAAUUAUCUGAUUUUUUUAAUAUUUUGGAGGAAAGAAUGUGACCAGCUGGCGUACUGUUACUGGAUGAAAUAACAUUGAAAUAACAACGGCAAAAUAAGUGCCUGUGCAGAAAAUUGUUAGGCAUAUCUUGAUGGAAAAAUCACCUUGACAGAUUGAAAACAACUUUAGCUGGUUCUUAGAAGUUAUAGCUAAGUCCUGAUAAGUAAUUUAGGAAUGCCUUAUGUAUCUUCCUGAAUUAAUCCUGCAAAACAUUGCCAGGUAAUAAUUAUUAUAAACGUUGUUGGUUUUAAGCCACCUUACUUUAAACACAAUUUUCUCAUUAUCUAGUUUUUGUUCCUCCUUGAUUUUAUAUUCAAGAUCUUUAAACAAUCCAUCAUCAAACUUUUAUCCCUUGUGUCACUGUGCCUCUGUAUGAAUUGCCAAUGUUUCUAUGAUUUUUCUCCUUUGUUUUCUCUGUGUUUGUUCAGCUGGACCCUUUGCUUUUCUCUUUUCUCUCUUUUUUAACCCCUCUAAGCCCUACAGUGCUUUAAAUGACACAUAAGUUAAACCUGUCCUGACAUUCUAUUCAUACAUGUUAGAUAUGCCUCUUUUGUGCCUAGAGUCGUCUGUGCCAUCCAUCACCAAGGUAGAGGCAGGGGGAGAGGCUGCCCAGGAUGGACCAUGGUAUAGGAAGAAAAUAUUAGAACUUUACAAAUAUUUUUAAAUCUCAUCUUGGUUAAUUUUUAUUUUUUUGUGUGUAUAUGUUUUACAAUAUACAUGAUAAAUUAGUAUCCAGAAAGAAGACAUCAAAUAAUUAAAAUAUAUAUAUAUAUAUGAGAGGGUGCAUGCUCCAAAUGUUUUCCUGAUGGAGCACACACUGGAGAGUUAGGGGACCACUUAUCUAUGCUGGUGAUCAUAUAGCUCAAGUUGUCAGGCCUGUUUCUUGUAAAAUUAGGUCUAGGAUUGGGUUAGAUAAUUUCUAAGGUCUUCUUUAGCUUAAAUGUUCAUUGGGUUAAAAAUUUCAUUUUGUAAAAAUUUCAAGCAUAAAGAAAAGGUACGAGUAUGCUAUAAUGAACUCCCAUAUGCCAUUCACAUAGUUUUGUCCACUGUUAACAUUGUGUCACAUUUCCUCUUUCUCUCUCUCUCUCUCUUUUUUUUUUUUGGCCACACCCAUGGCAUGUGGAAGUUCCCGGGCCAGGGAUCAAACCCUCAACAUGGCAGUGACCCAAACCACAGAUACGAAAUCCUUAACCUCCUACACCACCAGCGAAUACCCUUUUUCUCUCUUGAAGACGUAUAUACAUACAUAUCAUUGUCAUUUUGUUCAUUUGCUAGUAAAUUGAAGAGGUUGUUACCAUUUACCCUAAAUAUUUUAGCAUGUGUCAAUUAAGAACAGAUACUCUUUUACAUAACUACAGAAUAUUGUCAAAUUUAUACUGGAUUGUUAUCUAGUAUAUGGUCUGUGUUCAAAUUCUAUAUAUUGUCCCAGUAUGACAAUAAAAAGGUCGUACUGUUUCUUCCCCAAUUUUAGGAUUGGAGCACAGGAACUAUUUUUGUCAUGUCUCUCCAGUUUUCUUUGCUGGAACAGUCUUUUAGCUGUUCUUUGUAUUUUAUGUCACUGACAUUUUUGAAGAAUAUUGGUCCUCAAUUUUGCAGAAUGUCUCAUUUGGGCUUGCAUAAUUUUUUCUAUUCUAUCUUGUUUUUUCUUUUUUGGUAGUUUAAUUCUGUCUCUGUGUAUACGUGCUGUGUGCUCAUGUGUGAGUCUCUUUUCCAAACCAGAUUGUACGUUCCUUGGAGACAGUGGUGAUUCAUCCUGUUCAUAUUUGUUCUUCACACUUUCAAGCAUAUAUAAUACUUUGCCUAUAAUAAAUGUUAAACAUAUUCACAAUCGAAAGUUCUUUCAUAUUCUGUAGGUUC
rnacentral:lncRNA from 1 species